GAUGAACGCUGGCGGCGUGCCUAAUACAUGCAAGUCGAGCGAACAGACGAGGAGCUUGCUCCUCUGAUGUUAGCGGCGGACGGGUGAGUAACACGUGGAUAACCUACCUAUAAGACUGGGAUAACUUCGGGAAACCGGAGCUAAUACCGGAUAACAUGUUGAACCGCAUGGUUCAACAGUGAAAGACGGCCUUGCUGUCACUUAUAGAUGGAUCCGCGCCGCAUUAGCUAGUUGGUAAGGUAACGGCUUACCAAGGCAACGAUGCGUAGCCGACCUGAGAGGGUGAUCGGCCACACUGGAACUGAGACACGGUCCAGACUCCUACGGGAGGCAGCAGUAGGGAAUCUUCCGCAAUGGGCGAAAGCCUGACGGAGCAACGCGGCGUGAGUGAAGAAGGUCUUCGGAUCGUAAAACUCUGUUAUUAGGGAAGAACAAAUGUGUAAGUAACUAUGCACGUCUUGACGGUACCUAAUCAGAAAGCCACGGCUAACUACGUG
rnacentral:rRNA from 1 species